rnacentral:rRNA from 1 species
UACGUAGGGGGCAAGCGUUGUCCGGAUUUAUUGGGCGUAAAGAGCGUGUAGGCGGCCAGAUAGGUCCGUUGUGAAAACUCGAGGCUCAACCUCGAGACGCCGAUGGAAACCAUUUGGCUAGAGUCCGGAAGAGGAGAGUGGAAUUCCUGGUGUAGCGGUGAAAUGCGCAGAUAUCAGGAAGAACACCCGUGGCUAAGGCGGCUCUCUGGGGUAUUUCUGACGCUGAGGCACGAAAGCCAGGGGAGCGAACGGG